rnacentral:snRNA from 1 species
UUGCUUUGGCAGCACAAAUAUUAAAAUUGGAAUGAUACAGAGAAGAUUAGCAUGGCCCCUGCAAAAGGAUGACAUGCAAAUUCG